rnacentral:rRNA from 1 species
AGACCCGAAACCCGGUGAUCUAGCCAUGGGCAGGUUGAAGGUUGGGUAACACUAACUGGAGGACCGAACCGACUAAUGUUGAAAAAUUAGCGGAUGACCUGUGGCUGGGGGUGAAAGGCCAAUCAAACCGGGAGAUAGCUGGUUCUCCCCGAAAGCUAUUUAGGUAGCGCCUCGUGAAUUCAUCUCCGGGGGUAGAGCACUGUUUCGGCUAGGGGGCCAUCCCGGCUUACCAACCCGAUGCAAACUGCGAAUACCGGAGAAUGUUAUCACGGGAGACACACGGCGGGUGCUAACGUCCGUCGUGAAGAGGGAAACAACCCAGACCGCCAGCUAAGGUCCCAAAGUCAUGGUUAAGUGGGAAACGAUGUGGGAAGGCCCAGACAGCCAGGAUGUUGGCUUAGAAGCAGCCAUCAUUUAAAGAAAGCGUAAUAGCUCACUGGUCGAGUCGGCCUGCGCGGAAGAUGUAACGGGGCUAAACCAUGCACCGAAGCUGCGGCAGCGAACGUAUCACCCAAGACAACUUUACGGAGUUGACGAUUGACGGAGCGAAGCGACGUCAAAGCGUUCAUUAAAGUCGAGUUGGCUUAGGGAUACGUUCGUUGGGUAGGGGAGCGUUCUGUAAGCCUGUGAAGGUGUGUCGUGAGGCAUGCUGGAGGUAUCAGAAGUGCGAAUGCUGACAUAAGUAACGAUAAAGCGGGUGAAAAGCCCGCUCGCCGGAAGACCAAGGGUUCCUGUCCAACGUUAAUCGGGGCAGGGUGAGUCGACCCCUAAGGCGAGGCCGAAAGGCGUAGUCGAUGGGAAACGGGUUAAUAUUCCCGUACUUGGUGUUACUGCGAAGGGGGGACGGAGAAGGCUAUGUUGGCCGGGCGACGGUUGUCCCGGUUUAAGCGUGUAGGUGUGUGUUCCAGGUAAAUCCGGUUCACUUUAACACUGAGGCGUGACGACGAGGCACUACGGUGCUGAAGCAACAAAUGCCCUGCUUCCAGGAAAAGCCUCUAAGCAUCAGGUAACACGAAAUCGUACCCCAAACCGACACAGGUGGUCAGGUAGAGAAUACCAAGGCGCUUGAGAGAACUCGGGUGAAGGAACUAGGCAAAAUGGUGCCGUAACUUCGGGAGAAGGCACGCUGACACGUAGGUGAAGUGAUUUACUCAUGGAGCUGAAGUCAGUCGAAGAUACCAGCUGGCUGCAACUGUUUAUUAAAAACACAGCACUGUGCAAACACGAGAGUGGACGUAUACGGUGUGACGCCUGCCCGGUGCCGGAAGGUUAAUUGAUGGGGUCAGCGUAAGCGAAGCUCCUGAUCGAAGCCCCGGUAAACGGCGGCCGUAACUAUAACGGUCCUAAGGUAGCGAAAUUCCUUGUCGGGUAAGUUCCGACCUGCACGAAUGGCGUAAUGAUGGCCAGGCUGUCUCCACCCGAGACUCAGUGAAAUUGAACUCGCUGUGAAGAUGCAGUGUACCCGCGGCAAGACGGAAAGACCCCGUGAACCUUUACUAUAGCUUGACACUGAACAUUGAGCCUUGAUGUGUAGGAUAGGUGGGAGGCUUUGAAGUGUGGACGCCAGUCUGCAUGGAGCCGACCUUGAAAUACCACCCUUUAAUGUUUGAUGUUCUAACGUGGACCCGUAAUCCGGGUUGCGGACAGUGUCUGGUGGGUAGUUUGACUGGGGCGGUCUCCUCCUAAAGAGUAACGGAGGAGCACGAAGGUUGGCUAAUCCUGGUCGGACAUCAGGAGGUUAGUGCAAUGGCAUAAGCCAGCUUGACUGCGAGCGUGACGGCGCGAGCAGGUGCGAAAGCAGGUCAUAGUGAUCCGGUGGUUCUGAAUGGAAGGGCCAUCGCUCAACGGAUAAAAGGUACUCCGGGGAUAACAGGCUGAUACCGCCCAAGAGUUCAUAUCGACGGCGGUGUUUGGCACCUCGAUGUCGGCUCAUCACAUCCUGGGGCUGAAGUAGGUCCCAAGGGUAUGGCUGUUCGCCAUUUAAAGUGGUACGCGAGCUGGGUUUAGAACGUCGUGAGACAGUUCGGUCCCUAUCUGCCGUGGGCGCUGGAGAACUGAGGGGGGCUGCUCCUAGUACGAGAGGACCGGAGUGGACGCAUCACUGGUGUUCGGGUUGUCAUGCCAAUGGCACUGCCCGGUAGCUAAAUGCGGAAGAGAUAAGUGCUGAAAGCAUCUAAGCACGAAACUUGCCCCGAGAUGAGUUCUCCCUGAGACUUAGAGUCUCCUGAAGGAACGUU